rnacentral:lncRNA from 1 species
AUAAAUUAAAUUUUUUUUCAUGCGAAAUAUGUUAUCUUAUCAAAUUAUGGAUGGAAAUUUCUAUCAAGGAGUAAAAAUAAGAUAAAUCAUUUUGCAAGUGAAAUAUGUUAUCUGAUUAAAUUAUGGAUGAAAAUUUCUAUUAGGGAGUAAAAAUAAAUUUAGCACACAAGAAAAACUUUGCACCGAAUAAGUUGUUCCGACAUUCAAACUGAAACUAACGCUCUGCGUGAAAAUCUUGUGCAGUAUAUCUUCUUGAUUUACUCAACAAAUUUGUACGUUUGAACAUUAAUUUAAUUGAUAAGGAUUAUGAUCAAAUAUUUAGGAGAAAAAAAUAAUAUGAUAGUCGAAUUUCAAGUCAUUUUUUCAUAACAAGAUAAAUUAUCUCGAAUGCAAAAUUAAUAUGCCGUCAUCCUAACAAAUUAUGGACAGCAAGAUUUCUAAAGAAACGAAGCGGGUAGCGUGCUAUCUCUCAAAAAAAAAAAAAAAAAAAAAAAAUUCUAAAGAAGCAAAAAAUAAAAUUUCUUACUUAUAACCAAACGCAAACAUUCUCUAAAAUAUUCUUGAAUAGUUAACUUACUUCUCUCUAUUUC